CCUACGGGGGGCAGCAGUGAGGAAUAUUGGUCAAUGGACGAGAGUCUGAACCAGCCAAGUAGCGUGAAGGAUGACUGCCCUAUGGGUUGUAAACUUCUUUUAUAUGGGAAUAAAACGUUCCACGUGUGGGAUUUUGUAUGUACCAUAUGAAUAAGGAUCGGCUAACUCCGUGCCAGCAGCCGCGGUAAUACGGAGGAUACGAGCGUUAUCCGGAUUUAUUGGGUUUAAAGGGCGCGUAGGUGGAUUGUUAAGUCAGUUGUGAAAGUUUGCGGCUCAACCGUAAAAUUGCAGUUGAAACUGGCAGUCUUGAGUACAGUAGAGGUGUGCGGAAUGCGUGGUGUAGCGGUGAAAUGCUUAGAUAUCACGAAGAACUCCGAUUGCGAAGGCAGUUCACUGGACUGCAACUGACACUGAGGCUCGAAAGUGUGGGUAUCAAACAGGAGUAGAUACCCUGGUAGUC
rnacentral:rRNA from 1 species